rnacentral:rRNA from 1 species
UGCCAGCCGCCGCGGUAAUACGUAUGUCGCAAGCGUUAUCCGGAUUUAUUGGGCGUAAAGCGCGUCUAGGCGGAAAAGAAAGGUCUGAUGUGAAAAUGCGGGGCUCAACUCCGUAUUGCGUUGGAAACUGCUUUUCUAGAGUACUGGAGAGGUGGGCGGAACUACAAGUGUAGAGGUGAAAUUCGUAGAUAUUUGUAGGAAUGGCGAUGGAGAAGUCAGCUCACUGGACAGAUACUGACGCUUAAGGGCGAAAAGGGGGGGAGCAAACAGGAUUAGAUA